ACAAGCGGUGGAUCAUGUUGUUUAAUUCGAUGAUACGCGAAGAACCUUACCAGGUCUUGACAUCCCCGCAAUGCUCUGGAGACAGAGCGGAGGUAUCCGGGGAGACAGGUGGUGCAUGGUUGUCGUCAGCUCGUGUCGUGAGAUGUUGGGUUAAGUCCCGCAACGAGCGCAACCCCUGCAUUCAGUUGCCAACGGUAAGGCCGGGCACUCUGGAUGGACUGCCGGCGACAAGCCGGAGGAAGGUGGGAUGACGUCAAGUCAUCAUGGCCCUUAUGUCCAGGGCGACACACGUGCUACAAUGGCCGGCACAGCGGGAAGCGAGGGGGCGACCUUGAGCGGAUCCCUCAAAGCCGGUCUCAGUUCGGAUUGCAGUCUGCAACUCGACUGCAUGAAGUUGGAAUCGCUAGCAAUCGUGGAUCAGCCAAGCCGCGGUGAAUACGUUCCCGGGCCUU
rnacentral:rRNA from 1 species